UACGUAGGGGGCGAGCGUUGUCCGAAGUUACUGGGCGUAAAGCGCGCGUAGGCGGGGGUUAAGUGAGAGGUGAAAGGCUGGGGCUCAACCUCAUGCAGUGCCUCUCAUACUGGCCUUCUUGAGGGCGGUAGGGAGAAGUGGAAUGGCUGGUGUAGCGGUGAAAUGCGUAGAUAUCAGUCGGAACACCGGUGGCGAAGGCGGCUUCUUGGGCCGUUCCGACGCUGAUGCGCGAAAGCUGGGGGAGCGAAC
rnacentral:rRNA from 1 species